rnacentral:rRNA from 1 species
CCUACGGGUGGCAGCAGUAGGGAAUAUUGCUCAAUGGGGGAAACCCUGAAGCAGCAACGCCGCGUGGAGGAUGAAGGUUUUCGGAUUGUAAACUCCUUUUGUUAGAGAAGAUAAUGACGGUAUCGAACGAAUAAGCACCGGCUAACUCCGUGCCAGCAGCCGCGGUAAUACGGAGGGUGCAAGCGUUACUCGGCAUCACGGGGCGUACAGAGCGCGUAGGCGGGAUCGCAAGUCAGAUUUGAAAUCCUAGGGCUUAACCAUAGCACUGCAUGUGAAACGUUUAUUCUAGAGUAUGGGAGAGUUCGGUGGGAUUCUUGGUGUAGGGGUAAAAUCCGUAUAGAUCAAGAGGAAUCCUCAUUGCGCAGGCGACCUGCUAGAACAUAACUGACGCUGAUGCGCGCACGCGUGGGGAGCAAACAGGAUUAGAUACCCCUGUAGUC